rnacentral:rRNA from 1 species
UUGGAGGGCAAGUCUGGUGCCAGCAGCCGCGGUAAUUCCAGCUCCAAUAGCGUAUAUUAAAGUUGCUGCAGUUAAAAAGCUCGUAGUUGAAUUUCGGGACCAAUAUGUCGGUCGUGCCUCGGUACGUACUGGCAUCGUUGGUUUCUCCCUUCUGACGAACCAUGAUGUCAUUUAUUUGGUGUCGUGGGGAAUCAGGACUGUUACUUUGAAAAAAUUAGAGUGUUUAAAGCAGGCUCACGCUUGAAUACAUUAGCAUGGAAUAAUGAAAUAGGACGUUUGAUUCUAUUUUGUUAGUUUCUAGGAUCGACGUAAUGAUUAAUAGGGAUAGUUGGGGGCAUUAGUAUUCAAUUGUCAGAGGUGAAAUUCUUGGAUUUAUUGAAGACUAACUACUGCGAAAGCAUUUGCCAAGGAUGUUUUCAUUAAUCAAGAACGAAAGUUAGGGGAUCGAAGACGAUCAGAUACCGUCGUAGUCUUAACCAUAAACUAUGCCGACUAGGGAUCGGAUGAUGUUAAUUUUUUAAUGACUCAUUCGGCGCCUUACGGGAAAA